AUCCAGCCAGUGAGUUCCAAAUAGGAUGAAACGCGCGUCCUGGAU
rfam:Schistosoma margrebowiei strain Zambia genome assembly, scaffold: SMRZ_scaffold0000011